rnacentral:rRNA from 1 species
UGGCUUCCGUAGUGACCUGCGGAAGGUCAUUAAGAGACGUUGCCCUUCGGGGUAUACCUCCCACCCAUUGUUUAUUAUACCUUUGUUGCUUUGGCAGACCCGGCUUCGGCCCACCGGCUCCGGCUGGUCAGUGUCUGCCAGAGGACCUAAAACUCUGUUUGUUAAUAUUGUCUGAGUACUAUAUAAUAGUUAAAACUUUCAACAACGGAUCUCUUGGUUCUGGCAUCGAUGAAGAACGCAGCGAAAUGCGAUAAGUAGUGUGAAUUGCAGAAUUCAGUGAAUCAUCGAAUCUUUUGAACGCACAUUGCGCCCCUUUGGGUAUUCCUUAGGGCAUUGCCUUGUUCGAGCGUCAUUUUGAACCCCUCAAGCUCAGCUUGGGUGUUGGGUGGUCUGUCCCCGCCCCGCGGGGACUCGCCUCAAAAACAUUGGCGGCCGGUACGUUGGCUUCGAGCGCAGCAGAAAACGCGAACUCGGGGCCCGACGUAGCGGCGACCACAAGUCUAUUCAUCACUUUGACCUCGGAUCAGGUAGGGAUACCCGCUGAACUUAAGCAUAUCAAUAAGCGGAGGA